CAGCGGAGGGAUCAUUACCGAGUUAUACAACUCAUCAACCCUGUGAACAUACCUAAAACGUUGCUUCGGCGGGAACAGACGGCCCUGUAACAACGGGCCGCCCCCGCCAGAGGACCCCUAACUCUGUUUUUAUAAUGUUUUUCUGAGUAAACAAGCAAAUAAAUUAAAACUUUCAACAACGGAUCUCUUGGCUCUGGCAUCGAUGAAGAACGCAGCGAAAUGCGAUAAGUAAUGUGAAUUGCAGAAUUCAGUGAAUCAUCGAAUCUUUGAACGCACAUUGCGCCCGCCAGUAUUCUGGCGGGCAUGCCUGUUCGAGCGUCAUUACAACCCUCAGGCCCCCGGGCCUGGCGUUGGGGAUCGGCGGAAGCCCCCUGUGGGCACACGCCGUCCCUCAAAUACAGUGGCGGUCCCGCCGCAGCUUCCAUUGCGUAGUAGCUAACACCUCGCAACUGGAGAGCGGCGCGGCCAUGCCGUAAAACACCCAACUUCUGAAUGUUGACCUCGAAUCAGGUAGGAAUACCCGCUGAACUUAAGCAUAUCAAUAAGCGGAGGAAAAGAAACCAACAGGGAUUGCCCCAGUAACGGCGAGUGAAGCGGCAACAGCUCAAAUUUGAAAUCUGGCUCUCGGGCCCGAGUUGUAAUUUGUAGAGGAUGCUUUUGGUGAGGUGCCUUCCGAGUUCCCUGGAACG
rnacentral:sRNA from 1 species